ensembl:lncRNA
GUAGCAUACUGAUGGAGGGGAUAAGGUGUUGGUAGCAUACUGAUGGAGGGGAUAAGGUGUUGGUAGCAUACUGGUGGAGUGGAUCAGGUGUUGGUAGCACACUGGUGGAGUGAAUAAGGUGUUGGUAGCAUACUGGUGGAGGGGAUAAGGUGUUGGUAGCAUACUGGUAGAGGGGAUAAGCUGUUGGUAGCAUACUGGUAGAGGGGAUAAGGUGUUGGUAGCAUACUGGUAGAGGGGAUAAGGUGUUGGUAGCAUACUGAUAAGGAAGAAUAAGGUUCAGCAAGAACAGUGAUGUGUGAGGAAAGGCUAAGGUGUACAUAUUAUAAUGAUGGGGGACGAUAAGGUAAAGGUUUCAUACUGAUAGGUGAGGAUAAGGUGUAGAUAGCAUACUGGUGGGGAGGAUAAG